rnacentral:tRNA from 1 species
GCCUCCGUGGCUCAGCGGCAGAGCAGCGGUUUUGUAAACCGCAGGUCGUGGGUUCGAAUCCCACCGGAGGCU